AUUGGCUUGUUUGGAUCACAUGUUCUCCUUUGAACCAAUCACUGAAUCCUCUGAUUAGCCAGCCUGGGUCAUAUGCUCAGCUCCAGGGAAAAAGGAUGGUAGUUCUUGAUUUUCAGCCCUACCAAAAAUUCCAAAAAGAAGACCUACAAGACAGGUUAGAAACGCUGCUCAGAUGAAUGAACAGAUGCGGCAGUGUGCACUGCGAAAUGAUAUGACCAACAUCAUCCAUUUUGGGAGGUAGAACCUUUACCAUUUUAUAAGAGAGAAUCCUAAAAUCUUGAAAAGCCAAAGCAUAAUAUUUUAAUUUUGAAGUCUUUUGGGCAUCUUCCCAUAUAGUUUAAUUAAUAAUUUCUGAUUUCUGUAUAAGCUUUGUUACAAAAACUAAAGAUUCAUCAGGAAGGAAAAGCUUUAAAGGUGUUCAGCAAAACAUCAUUAGUCUGGGAUAAGUGUAAGAAAGAGAAGGAUAGUAAUAAUGUUAUUGGUUCCUUGAAAUUGUCUCAGUAGUUGGAUUAGAAUUGAAUUCGUAUUAUUCAGCCUGCAAAGAACAUCUCAUUAGACACCGGAGAAACCAUUUCUGAGCAUAUUAUCACAAGGAAAUCCAGACAAUCCAUUAUUUCUCUUUCCCCUCUCUGUUUAGUAUGCACAGCACAGGGAAAGGGAAGCAGAGUGAUAAGGCAUUGGCAGGAGAAGUUUUCAGGAGUUCUUUCGGCUGAUUUCAAAGUUUUCCUGUUUCCUGGUCACUGUGAGCACAUCUCUGCAUAGCUUUCAUAGCUUCGCAAGCAGUGUUUGGUCUGCAUCUGUAGACCAGAUUUGGUGGUUGACAAUUUGAUAUGUGCAGAUAGAGUUUAAAGAGAAAUGCACAAAACAGAAAGUAGUUUGGAGUACCUUCCUCGCCUCAUGAUUGAAAAAAUGACGAUUUAUACAGUUCAUUCUUAGGAGGACAAAGUUGUAUUCCACACAUCCAAGCAGGUAAGCAAAAAUAUUGCUUUUUCCAUUUUAUAAUCAACUCACAAGCUCUCAGGGAAAUUGCUGGUUCCUGUAACUACGGUUCUGGAGCCCAAAAUAGAAUCCACAUCUCCUGACUCACUUCUUUCCUCUAGAACACGUCGCCUAAAAUAGGGUUGUUUUUUGGGAUCUGAAAGCAUAUUUUCCUUUUAAUAAUACUAGCAGAGUUGGUGGAGGCCCAACUCUGUACCAGGACUGGGCUGAGCACUUCACACAUGUUCUCCCAAUUAGUUUUCUCCUCAUUCCCCUUUCCUGGGAGGUGGGUAUUGUUACCUGCUGACACAGGAGCAGAUUCAAAGAGCUCAACGUGCACAGGAUCCUGCAGCCAGGAAGGACGAAGGUGUCUGGAUUGGGGUUUUUCAAGUCCAAAAGCCUUUGUUCUUAGCUACGAUAGUCCCAAAGCAAAAGCAGCAUGUUAUUUAGGAGCAUAACAAAACUAUCAUUGGGAAGUCACAUAGAAAAGAACAAUGCACUUUUUCCUGUAUUUUGUGGGCUUUAGGUUAGAGCCAGCCUCAUCUUGUCUAAGGUGUUCAGAAUCAGAGUGACUAGCUGUGGGCAGAAUAAUGAUCCCUUGAUCCCUAGUGAUAUUUCUCUGAUUUUUCUUAUUGAGUAGAACCAUAUAGCUAUACAUUUAAGGCAAACUUCUUAACAAAAUCAGAAGCUCUUCUCGGAAAAGAGAGAACUCAGUAACUACAAACUCUAAGCAUUAUAAUCUCAUAGCAUAUCACAUUUUAAGAAAGUGUAGUGCAAAUAGCAAAAGAACUUCAAAUAACUUAGAACUGCUCACAGUUCAGUUUGCAGCAUGUUAGAGCAUUUCCAUUUGAGGCCUUCAAGGCAUUUGGACUGCAACUUCUGUAACUGUCAUGUGAUUAAGAGUUUACAGCGGAUUUGAAAUCAGAGAAUCAUGGAUUGAAAUCCUGACUCAUUUCCCUGAACCUCAGUUUUCUCAUCUCUAAAACAGUGAUAAUAGCAAAUAACAGCAAAAAUGUAGCUAGUGGUUGUUAUAUGCUAGGCACUGUUCUAAGUGCUUUACAGACAUAUCUUGCCUUAUCUUUCAAAAACCCAGUGGGAUAGGCACUAUUUUAUCCCCACAUUACAGAGGAAAGAACUGAGGCCGAGAUGUUAAGUCCUUUGCCUGAGAUCGUGUGGCUAGUAAGUAGUAGAAAUGGGAUUUCAAUGAAGCUUUUGAUUCCUAAAGUCUCUGAAGUCCCACAGGAAAUUGCCCUAUUACACAGUUAUUAUGAAUAUUAAAAGAAAAAUUUAAAUGAGGUAGUGUACAUAAGGAACUUUACAUAGUACUUGGCAUAUAGUAGAAAGCCAAUUUUUUUGUUUUUGAAACUAGAAAGGGGAAUCUGACAAACUCAUCACUAAGAUUAUAAGGGAAAUUAAGAAUUUGUCUGAAGGAAACCAGGAAUCUAUUUUAAAGAAUCACUGGAUAUUUGGAUUUUAUGUUCUCAUUUUCCUAUUAGUUCAUUAAUUCUCACUUAGUUGGCAUGCUUCUGUGGCUGAUAAUGACUGGCUCACCACUGUUUCUGGAAUCUGUUUUCCUGUCUACCUUCUUGUUUUUCCAUAAAACUACUGUCCUUUAAAAUGGCCUGUGGCCUGUGUUCCCCAUGGCCCAGUCCCCUGGUGGGUGAGGCUUGCCACCUCUAGUUGCUACCUGGACCCAGUACUUACACAUCAAGGUCAGUAGUUAAUGCUUACAAUGCAAAUAAAGUUAUAUUCAAGCAUGUAUGUGCACGCACACACAUGCACACCAAGUUUGCAG
ensembl:lncRNA